UUGUCGUCAGCUCGUGUCGUGAGAUGUUGGGUUAAGUCCCGCAACGAGCGCAACCCCCGCCGUUAGUUGCCAGCGGUUCGGCCGGGCACUCUAACGGGACUGCCCGCGAAAGCGGGAGGAAGGAGGGGACGACGUCUGGUCAGCAUGGCCCUUACGGCCUGGGCGACACACGUGCUACAAUGCCCACUACAAAGCGAUGCCACCCGGCAACGGGGAGCUAAUCGCAAAAAGGUGGGCCCAGUUCGGAUUGGGGUCUGCAACCCGACCCCAUGAAGCCGGAAUCGCUAGUAAUCGCGGAUCAGCCAUGCCGCGGUGAAUACGUUCCCGGGCCUU
rnacentral:rRNA from 1 species